GCGUUGGUGGUUUAGUGGUAAAAUUCAUCGUUGCCAUGUCCUACAGCACUUUCGAUGAGCCCCGGGUUCGAUUCCCGGCCGACGCA